UCGGGAGUGAUCGCACUCGGGAGACAGCUGCAAAGACGAACAGCAGUCGUGAGUGAAGAAGGCAUUUCGGCAUUGUAAAGUACUCGUACUUGCGGGAGCAGAGCAGGAGGAGUUAGGAGAUAUGCUCUGGCGUAGACGAUACCUGCAAGAGGAAGCACGGCUAACUACGUAGCAGCAGCGCGUAAUACGUAGGGGGCAGCAGAUGAUCCGGAUGACUGAGAGCGAUAAGCGUUAAAGCGAUUUUGUCACGUCUGGGGUGAAGCCCGGGGCUCAACUGGGAUGGCUUGGAACGGGGAGACUGAGGUCGGAGAGUCAGGGGAAUCCACGUGUAGCGUGAAUGCGUAGAGAUGUGGAGAUACAGU
rnacentral:rRNA from 1 species